GUCUUUUUGAAUUAAAUUUAAAGUCUAACCUGCCCACUGAAAAUUUUAAAUGGCCGCAGUAUUCUAACUGUGCAAAGGUAGCAUAAUCAUUAGUCUUUUAAUUGAAGGCUGGAAUGAAUGGUUGGACGAAAUAUUAACUGUUUCAUUUAAAUUUCUUAUAGAAUUUUAUUUUUUAGUCAAAAAGCUAAAAUAAAUUUAAAAGACGAGAAGACCCUAUAAAUCUUUAUAUUUUGUUUAUUUUAAUUAUAAAGAUUAUUUUUCUUUUAAUAAAUAAAAAUAUUUUAUUGGGGUGAUAUUAAAAUUUAAAAAACUUUUAAUUUUUAAAACCAUUAAUUUAUGAAUAAUUGAUCCAUUAAUAAUGAUUAAAAAUUUAAGUUACUUUAGGGAUAACAGCGUAAUUUUUUUGGAGAGUUCAUAUCGAUAAAAAAGAUUGCGACCUCGAUGUUGGAUUAAGAUAUAAUUUUGGGUGUAGCCGUUCAAAUUUUAAGUCUGUUCGACUUUUAAAUUCUU
rnacentral:rRNA from 1 species